rnacentral:piRNA from 1 species
GUGAAGAACUUGCUAUGACUGUCCACCAA